GGGAUUUGGAGGCUAGGGUUUGGUUUGAGCUCAAAGCUUGGUCUUGAUACUUGAGGUACUUACCAUGGCACUUAGCUUGGGUGGCAUGGAGUGCACAUUGAGACGUCUCUUGAGAGCUUCAUUGGUAUCAUUAAGGAAGUGUUUAUCAUCUAGUUUAAUUCAUGUUGUGUACUUUACUCGCAAAUUGAAGGUUGUACCUUUUGAUUAGAAUAUAUGUAAAGCCAUGUAUAAACUCAUCUCCUUGAUUAUUAUGAAACCCUUUUAAAUUGUAAGCGUUUGGGAGACUCUGCGUUAAAAAAAAAGAA